rnacentral:rRNA from 1 species
CUUUUAUGGAGAGUUUGAUCCUGGCUCAGGACGAACGCUGGCGGCGUGCCUAAUACAUGCAAGUCGAGCGCGGGAAGCGAGCGGAUCCCUUCGGGGUGAAGCUCGUGGAACGAGCGGCGGACGGGUGAGUAACACGUGGGCAACCUGCCUGUAAGACCGGAAUAACCCCGGGAAACCGGGGCUAAUGCCGGGUAAUACUUUUCUUCGCAUGAAGGAAAGUUGAAAGAUGGCUUCUUGCUAUCACUUACAGAUGGGCCCGCGGCGCAUUAGCUAGUUGGUGAGG